UACGUAGGGUGCAAGCGUUGCUCGGAAUCACUGGGCGUAAAGGGUGCGUAGGCGGCUUGGUGGGUCUGGUGUGAAAGCCCCGGGCUCAGCCCGGGAAGGGCGCUAGAAACUGCCGAGCUCGAGUGCCGGAGGGGAGAGUGGAAUUCCUGGUGUAGCGGUGAAAUGCGUAGAUAUCAGGAGGAAUACCGGUGGCGAAAGCGACUCUCUGGACGGCAACUGACGCUGAGGCACGAAAGCGUGGGGAGCAAACAGG
rnacentral:rRNA from 1 species